AUGGAGAGGGAGGCGGGCGGACCCGGACCUGAUUUUGGCUCGAAGAAUGUUAUCAAGGCAUUUGAUAUUAUUACAAGUCACACUUGCUUCUUCUUCUUUUUGUGCUGUGGUGAGCCACAUUGCUACCACGUGAAAACGGCCCACGGCCCGGCCACCACACAGACUGAGCCCAGGCCCAACAUGGACACCUCCGCGUGGUGGCGGUCCACAGAAGUACUGUAUCCUCCAGGGGCUACUUCAGCGGUUGCCGCCGCCGACGAGGCUACCCUCCUCCCACACAGAUCGACGGCCAUGGAGAUGGAGGCGGGCGGACGCGGACCUGGUUCUGGCAGGAAGAAGAGGAAGCGGGCGGCGGCGGGAGGCAGAGCCGCCGGCAACCAAGGGCCGCAGCCCGGAGCGGGAGAAGGCGAAGGCGAAGGGGCCACCGAGGACCGCAUCAGCCAGGUCCCCGACGCUGUCCUGGGCGAGAUCGUCUCCCUCCUCCCCACCAAGGACGGCGCCCGCACCCAGGUCCUCGCGUCCCGGUGGCGCCACCUCUGGCGCUCCGCCCCUCUCAACCUCGACUGCGGCGGCCUCCUCCCAAUCCCAACCCACCACCGCGAUCUCGAUCGCCUCGUCUCGCGCAUCCUCGCCGCCCACACGGGCCCCGGGCGCCGCCUCUGCGUGCCCUGGAGGAACGGCCGCAAGGCCGCCAAGCUGGAAGCCUGGCUCCGAUCGCCCGCCCUCGACAACCUCGAGGAGCUCGAGUUCAACAACCAAUCAACAGGGUUCCUCUCGCGCUUGCCGGCGACCACCUCCCGGUUCGCCGCCACGCUCCGCCUUGUCAAACUCGAACUAUGCCACCUCCCCGACGACGCCGUCCGAUCGCUUCAUUUCCCCCAGCUCAAGCGCCUCGCACUCGUCAAGGUCGUCAUCUCGGAGGGCGCACUGGGCAGCCUCAUUCUUGCGUGCCCCGCCAUGGAGUGCGUGCUGCUUUGGUACAUCUCCGGAGUCCGUCGCGCCCGGAUCAGCUCCCCUAGGAUCAGAAGCAUCGGCGUCGUCGCUCUCGUUGGUUCAAACUCCAUGGGCAUGCCCAACUUGGACGAACUCGUGAUAGAGAAGGCCCCGUCUCUUGAAAGGCUGCUCCAUCUCAAUCUACGGGAUGACCUCUUCGACAGGAUCGUCGACGUACGUGCUGAUAGCCCGACAACGAUGGCGCGCACCGUCAAGAUCUUGGCUUUUAGAGUGCGCUUUUUUAGUCUGGAUAUGAUUAUUGACUUCCUCAGACUCUUUCCCUGCCUGGAGAAGCUGUACAUGCAGAAUGAGUGCAAUGCUCUUUUCCGGUCAAUGUCAAGGCAAAAAGGGCCGAAGAAUUGCUGGCGUCGCAAACAUCGAGAUCUUGAUAUCACAUGCCUUGAUGUUCAUCUGAAGACAAUAGUGUUGGAAUCCUACCGGGGAGGUCUGUCCGAGGUCAACUUCGCCACAUUCUUUGUACUGAACGCGAGAGCGCUAGAGUCAAUGACGUUUCAGGUGAAAACCACCGACGGGGAGUUCAUCGCGAGACAGAUGAGGUUGCUUCAGGUGGAGAAGAGGGCAUCAAGGGGCGCUGAGUUUCACUUCACGGACGAUAGAUGUCUUCGGGGUUUUUCGGAUAUCUGCCACGUCCGUGAUUUGGAUCUGACAGAUCCCUUUUUUGUAUGA
rnacentral:rRNA from 1 species